rnacentral:circRNA from 1 species
GUAUGCAACCACUCAUGUAUUCGGUUCAGGAAGCAUUAAAUGCCAGACCAUGGUGGAUUCGUAUGGGGACUGACAUUUGUUACUAUAAAAAUCAUUUCUCAAGAAGUUCAGUUGCUGCAGGUGGGCAAAAGGGAAAAUCCUACUAUACAAUUACAUUUACUGUCAAUUUUCCACAUAAAGAUGAUGUUUGCUACUUUGCUUAUCACUAUCCAUAUACGUAUUCAACUUUACAGAUGCAUCUUCAAAAAUUGGAAUCAGCACACAAUCCUCAGCAAAUCUAUUUUCGGAAAGAUGUGUUAUGUGAAACCCUGUCUGGAAACAGCUGCCCCUUGGUGACUAUAACAGCAAUGCCAGAGUCUAAUUAUUAUGAACAUAUCUGCCAUUUCAGAAAUCGCCCUUACGUUUUCUUGUCUGCUCGGGUACAUCCUGGAGAAACUAAUGCAAGUUGGGUUAUGAAAGGAACGUUGGAAUAUCUCAUGAGCAAUAACCCCACUGCUCAGAGCUUACGAGAAUCUUAUAUUUUUAAAAUUGUCCCUAUGUUAAAUCCAGAUGGUGUCAUCAAUGGAAAUCAUCGCUGUUCUUUAAGUGGAGAGGAUUUGAAUAGGCAGUGGCAAAGUCCAAGUCCGGAUUUACAUCCUACAAUUUACCAUGCUAAGGGGCUGUUGCAAUACUUGGCUGCAGUGAAGCGUUUACCCUUGGUUUAUUGUGAUUAUCAUGGCCAUUCCCGAAAGAAGAAUGUAUUUAUGUAUGGUUGCAGCAUCAAAGAGACAGUGUGGCAUACCAAUGAUAAUGCAACUUCAUGUGAUGUUGUGGAGGAUACGGGAUACAGGACAUUGCCUAAGAUACUGAGCCAUAUCGCCCCAGCAUUUUGCAUGAGCAGCUGUAGCUUCGUAGUGGAAAAAUCUAAAGAAUCCACAGCACGUGUUGUAGUUUGGAGGGAAAUAGGAGUACAAAGAAGUUAUACCAUGGAGAGUACUUUAUGUGGCUGUGAUCAGGGAAAAUACAAGGGUUUACAGAUUGGUACCCGAGAACUGGAAGAGAUGGGAGCAAAAUUUUGUGUUGGUCUUUUACGUUUGAAAAGACUGACCUCUCCAUUGGAGUAUAAUCUGCCUUCCAGCCUGCUUGACUUUGAAAAUGAUUUAAUUGAAUCAAGCUGCAAAGUAACUAG